rnacentral:rRNA from 1 species
GACGAACCGUGCGAACGUUGUUCGGAAUCACUGGGCUUAAAGGGCGCGUAGGCGGAUGACCAAGUCAGGGGUGAAAGCCCGCAGCUUAACUGCGGAAGUGCCUUUGAUACUGGUUGUCUCGAGGGAGAUAGGGGCAUGUGGAACUUCCGGUGGAGCGGUGAAAUGCGUAGAUAUCAGGAGGAACACCGAUGGCGAAAGCAGAUCUCUGGGCCGUAACUGACGCUGAGGAGCGAAAAGCAUGGGGAGCGAACAGG